CGGCAAAAGCUCAAAUUUGAAAUCUGGUACCUUCGGUGCCCGAGUUGUAAUUUGGAGAGGGCAACUUUGGGGCCGUUCCUUGUCUAUGUUCCUUGGAACAGGACGUCAUAGAGGGUGAGAAUCCCGUGUGGCGAGGAGUGCGGUUCUUUGUAAAGUGCCUUCGAAGAGUCGAGUUGUUUGGGAAUGCAGCUCUAAGUGGGUGGUAAAUUCCAUCUAAAGCUAAAUAUUGGCGAGAGACCGAUAGCGAACAAGUACAGUGAUGGAAAGAUGAAAAGAACUUUGAAAAGAGAGUGAAAAAGUACGUGAAAUUGUUGAAAGGGAAGGGCAUUUGAUCAGACAUGGUGUUUUGUGCCCUCUGCUCCUUGUGGGUAGGGGAAUCUCGCAUUUCACUGGGCCAGCAUCAGUUUUGGUGGCAGGAUAAAUCCAUAGGAAUGUAGCUUGCCUCGGUAAGUAUUAUAGCCUGUGGGAAUACUGCCAGCUGGGACUGAGGACUGCGACGUAAGUCAAGGAUGCUGGCAUAAUGGUUAUAUGCCGCCCGUCU
rnacentral:rRNA from 1 species